rnacentral:rRNA from 1 species
AGUGAACGCUGGCGGUAGGCCUAACACAUGCAAGUCGAACGGCAGCACCGUAAGAUCUUGCUCUUACCGGUGGCCAGUGGCGGACGGGAGAGGAAAAUAUCGGAAUCUACUUUUUCGUGUGGGUUAAGGUAGCGGAAGUUACUCUAAGACCGCAUACGACCCACGGGGGAAAGCAUGGGAUCUUUUGACCUUGUGCGAUUGAAUGCGCCGAUGUCGGAUUGGCUAGUUGGCGGGGUAAAGGCCCACCAAGGCGACGAUACGUAGCUGGUCGGAGAGGAUGGUCAGCCGCCCUGGAACUUAGGCACGGACCAGACGCCUACGGGAGGGAGCAGUGUGGAACAUAAGACAAUAGUCGGAAGCCUGAUACAGCCAGACCGCGUGGGUGAAGGAGGCCUUCGGGUUGUAAAGACCGUUUGUUGGGAAUGAACAGCUGCAGGUUAAGACCAAGCUGUUGUGACGGUACCCAAAGAAUAAGCACCGGCUAACUUCGUG